GAUAGCAUUAGGAGAUAUACCUAAUGCUAAAUGACGAGUUAAUGGGUGCAGCACACCAGCAUGGCACAUGUAUACAUAUGUAACUAACCUGCACAUUGUGCACAUGUACCCUAAAACUUAAAGUAUAAUAAUAAUUAAAAAAAAGAUAAAUAUGUUUUCCUAAGGAUAUAUGUAUGUUGUUGACUGCAGAAAUUACUCUGGCUUUGAUUUUGUGUGCCUGUUGUAGUGUGAUCUUUUUAUGACUUCUUUGGCAGUACAUAGGUCAGUGGUUUCUGUGAUUUCCUCAGUGGCUUAGGGUGCAGUUACUAGUUGAAAUUGUGCUGAAGUUUAGCUGGGGACUUGGACACCAAUGAACCAGUCUUUGGGCCCUGGCAGUGACAGUAGAGGUGCAAGUGUGCCUGUUUUUUGGCCAGCAGCCUAAACUCAGCUCAAAAAUUUAUGAUCAACGAAGGCAUAGAAUUCUCCAGAAAAGUUAAAAGCACAAAGUCAUUAUGUCUGUGAAUAUUAAAUAAAUUAAUUAAAGCAUUUUAAAUGUCUGUCUGCAUUUUAUGCUCUGAGGGAGGAUAAUAUCAGAAUAAAGUUCAAUUGCUUUUAAUUAGUGUACACAGAAAAAAAUGCGUUCCUUCACCUUUCAAUUUCCCACUUGGAAAUAUCCCUCCAAAUUUAAUAUUUGACACAGUUAAUAGCUAUGACUUGCAGUCUCUUUGCUGUAAUACACAUGGAAAUAAUGGGUAAAAAUAAAACUUUCAAGCCUUUAGUAAAGAUGUGUGUCUACUAAUUGAUGUCUUCUUGGUUGGGAUGGUCAGAAAAAAUAAACAAAAUAGAAACUAAAAAUUUUCCUGUAGUAUUUUUAGGGUUUUUCAAAAUUGGUAGCACACAAUUUGUGAUCAAGUCUCUCCAGCUAUUUUUCUGCCUCCUAAUUCAGCAGCGAUACUUUCCCUGCCUAUGUUUUCCCCCAGGGCAGCUGAGAAUUAAAUGUCUCAGAAAUAGCAUUAUGCUUGUCAACAAGAGUUGUACUUUCAGCUGCACCCCACACUAAGUUUAAUUUCUAGAGAAUUGUUGAUGCACUGCAGUAAAUCAGUAACAUCUGAUGCUUAUCUAGUUAUUCUUCUGGCAUUUGUGUAUUUUAAAAAGAUAUGUUUAUGAAACUAAUUUUAGUGAAAAUGAGUUUUUAUUUUCUAAAUGUCAUCUGACUUUUUGAGGUUGCCACUUAUUGUCAUUUGUCAAUCAACCUCCCUCAAGUUGACACCCAAAAUGCUCAUAAUUACUUUUGUUUUUAUGACCAAUCAUAGGUCUUACAAGGUUCCUCAGCUAAUAUGGAAAAAAUGUAUGUUUAAAAUGACAUUUUGAUUAAUAUAAUAAAACAAAAGUUUUUAAAAAUAGAUUUUAUUCUUAAAUCUACAGAAGGCAAAGUGAAAAGAUUACUCACUAUUCAAAUAAUAUUAUUUAUAAAAUAAAACCACUUUAAAAGUUAAAUCUUGUGAUGAAGGUAAAAGAAUACAUUUUACCAGACUACUUUUUUCCCCUCAAUGGAACAUAUUCAUUCUAUACAAAUAGUUCUUGGGUUCUUAUAAAUGACUUCUGCCUUUCAUUAUAUGCCUUAUCUCUUCUUCAGAUGUCUGAUCUAACCCCACAUAUGUUAUGAUCGUCUUUUUUUGCCUAGUGCAUUUAAUGGUGUUAUUUUCCCCAUCAUUAUCCAUGAUCAUGUCUAUACUUUGGGACUUAUGAUAUUGAGAACAGCCUAAAAUUAAAGUCAGUAAAAUGAGAGUGAACUUAAUUUGCAUUGUCUGUUCUCUGAGAAUAGCUUUACGCUUAGCCCUAGCAAUCUCUAGUUGUCACUUCUCAUAGUCUGAGCUCAAAAGUGUUCAGAUUUUAUAUUUUUAGUGUAUCAAAAAAAACUCAAUUAUUUUUUGCAGUCUGACCAAAGUGUAAGUAACUUCUAUGGAUUUUUAAUUUAUUUUAUUUCUCCCAGUUUGUCAUCCUGUUAUUGCAAAUUCCAUGAGUUUUUUCAUAAUAAAUUUGCCAGAAUCAUUAGAAGAAAUUAACGAUGCACAGUUUAAAAUUUGCAUAAAAUAAAACACUUUUGAUAUAUUGAAGACAACAAUCAGUUCAGUUUUGUCAAUUGAGAUAUAUUUUUUAAAUAUACAAUACAAAUAAUUUAUUAUUAAAAGUAAUUAUUUGUGCACCUUUUCCAUGGGGACCAUGGUUCUUUCCUUUCCAGGCUUAGUAGCAAUGCCCUCCAGGUUCUCAUGGAGAAAUACACCAUUUGAUAAUUCAGAAAGUCAAGUCCUUUUCAGUGUGUGAUGGCCACUUACAGAGGGAAGGGCAUGAAUUAGAGAGGGUGAGCUCAAUAUCUGUUGGUAGUGAGAGAAGAAAAUACUAACAUUAUCAAUGUUAUUUUAUCUAACUAUUUAUAUCAUCUCUUUUCAAUACAUGGUUUAUAACAUGGAGUAAACCAAUAAAAUUACAUAAAUAUAGUUAAUAAAUCAUUGUACACAUAUUAUUAAUCCAUGCCCAACUAUUCUGUUACUGGUAAUGGAAUAUAAUCCUAAUAUUUAGAGAACAUUAAGCCAUUAAUUUAAUAUGAUCCUACUAUUUCUGGCUCCAAAUCGCUAGUAGAACCAAACUGUGCCAAGGGUGCCACUGUAUGCUGGUAGGAGCUCUCUGUUGUUUGGUUCUUGCAGCUAAAAUAAAUGUGUUAUCUUACUAGAUUAAGCCUUUAAAAAGUAACAAUUAUUUAAUUAACUAUACAAUGUAUGUCUUACAAAAUUGUCUAUAUAUCAGGUGGCUUUAAGGCAAUUUUCUACCUUAGUCAUUUAUCAGCCUAGCCUGAUUAUUAGCCAAGAAUGCUGUCAACAUUUCUGCUUUGCCUUAUAUAUUUAUAUUUAUGAGACAGUACAGUAAUAAGUUCCUUGAAUAUAGAGAUGGACACACCUUCAUCUCAUAAUAAUCUGAGUGAAGGUGGUGGUUUUCUAUUUCUCCAUGUCAUAAAGCUAAACUGUUAUUAGAUCUGGAUUAAAUUCAACUGAUAAAGUAAUGAUGCCUGAACCCAAGCUAAAUAACAUGAGACAGUAACUGCAUCAUUAUGCUGUGAAACUUUACAAGAUAUUCUGGUAUUGGAGAUAUUUGGUGAAAACUUUAGGGGAAUUACCUUUACUAUUGGAGAGAGUAUUUUUCUAGGCAUUUGAGAGUAUCCCUGCAGUAAGUGAUGUCUCAGGAAAAGAAUCAACAUGUGAUUAUUUAGAAGCAAGUUCAUGGUUGUCAUGUAGUGACUAAAGUGGCAUUUUUUUUCUCAAUAAUUGAGAGAUGGCAAUCCUGUGCUGAAAGGAAGAGAGUCUCAUAAAAUAUUUCUGGGAUGAAAAAUAAGCUUGGAGAAAAUCAGCAUCAUUUUUAGGUAAAAGAAUUAGUAGAUUACUGGUAAACAUAAUAUAAUCUUUAAGGGGCAAUAAUGCCCCUUAAGUAUGUUCAUUUUAAUUCUCAGAUACUGAGAAUAUUUCACAGUUCAUGGCAAAGGAAAUAUAAGGUUUCGGAUGAAAUCAAGAUUGAGAAUCAGCUGAUUGAAAAUAAGGAUAUUAUCAUUAAUUAUUAUAGUGCAUUCAGUAGAAUUACCGAGUCCAAACUCACAGGAGAGUGAUGAAGAAUGAGAUGUAUCAAAGUGAUGGGAUGUGAGAAAGAGUCAACUGGAUAUUAGCGUUUGUUUAUUAGUGAUUCUUUCCUAUUAGAAUAAAUUUUCAUUUAAUUUAACUGAGCAAAUACCAUUGAGCAAUUUUAUAUGUUCCUUACCAUUCUAGAUGCUUAAUAUAGAAUGCAGGAAUAUUAAACAACAAGGAUAUGAUUUCUAAAAAGAGAGGCACAGGUGUAAUAGAAAUUUAGAAAUUGUGCAUCUACACAGGCAUAAUUAUGAAUGUGUUGAUGUUUUACAUGUAUAAGUUAUUUGGUGUAGAAAAUAGUGCAGAGACUGGAUUAUGCAGAAUUUAUAUGAGAUAGAGUUAACCAAGAAGUGGGUAAAAUUAAAAUAGUGAUGUAAUCAUUUUGGACACUAAAGAACAAACAUUGAUAAUGUGAGAUCCAUUGUUUUGUUCCCAGAUAUAUGAAAUAUGUUUGUCAUUAAUAUGAACACACUUUUCACUUCAGUUAUGCCUAAAAAUGUUUUUUUUUUUCUUCUGAAUCUGCCAUUGGACUUUCAGACAACACCUUUUUGCUUUUCUUCCACAUCUUCACACUCCUUCAGGAUCAAAAACCUAAGCCACAUGACUGGAUCAGCCGUCACUUGGCCUUCAUUCGGGUAGUGAUGGUCCUCACUGUAGUGGAUGUUUUGCCUCCAGAUAUGCUUGAAUCACUGCAUUUUGGGAAUAACUUCAAAUGCAAGUCCUUGAUCUAAAUAAACAGAGUGACGAGGGGCCUAUAUAUCUAUACCACCUGUCUCCUGAGUAUACACCAGGCCAGCAUAAUCAGCCUCAGCAACUUCUGGUUGGAAAGCUUUAAACAUAAAUUUACAAAUAACAUUGUCAGUGUCCUCUUUUUUCUUUUUUGUUCGCUCAAUUUGUCUUUCAGUAGUGACAUAAUAUUCUUCACUGUGGCUUCUUCCAUUGUGACCCAGACCAAUCUACUUAAGGUCCGCAAAUACUGCUCACGUUCUCCCAUGAAGUCCAUCAUGUGGGGAGUGUUUUCCUUGUAGGAUUACGCUGCUCUCAAGUGCAUACAUGAUGAUCUUUUUGUCCAAGCAUCAGAGGUGAUCCCAGCAUCUUCACAGUACCAGCCUUUCCCCAAGAUCCUCGCCAGAGAAAAGGGUUACCCAGAUCAUCCUGCCACUGGUGAGUUGCUUUGUUGUCAUGUACUGGGUGGACCUUAUCAUCUCAUCCUCUUCAGUCCUGUUAUGGACGUAUAACCCAGUCAUCCUGAGCAUCUAGAACCUUGUAGUCUGUGUCUAUGCCACUUUCGUUCCAUUGGUACAAAUCCACUCUGAUAAAAGAAUAGUUAAUAUUCUCCAAAAAAUGGAAUUAAAGUGCUAUAAAUUUUUAAUGUGUUGGUGAUGAAAAAUAUUUCUAAAAAUUAGUCUCAUUCUAUAGUUAAAUUGUUCAAGUAGCCCCAGAUUUAGCUUACUGAGUUUAAAUAAAAUGCAUGGAAUUACACUUUUAUUAUAUUUUUAUGCUUCUGAAACUGAGGCAUCUAAGGACUAUGUAGUUUCUUCAGUUCAAUGUUCACCAUAGAUUGACAUUUCAGAUAUCAAGUCUUUUGCACUUUUAUUUUUAUGUUAACUUUGUACAAGAAAAUGUUUCUCUCUUUUUGAAGUACACUCUUAAAAAAUCUUGUUUUGGUAAUCAAAUCUCUCAAUGUUUUUACUUUUGAAAAUAUUUACUUACUCUGUUUAUGAAUGAUACUUUAGCUAAAUAUUCAAUUCUAGCUUUUAAGCCAUGCUUGCUCAUUGUAACCUCCCUGACUAAAAAAAAUUAUGUCAAUUUGGAUUUUAAAUUUAAUCUAGAAUUCAUUUUAAAGGGUUUUAAAUGAAAUUUAUAUGUGGCUAGAUACUGUUUUGGUAAUACUUGGUAGUUUCCCGCCUCUAUUGGGAUAUUAUUGACAAAAAUUUUGUAUAUUUAUGGUGCACAAUAUGAUGUUUUGAGGUAUAGACACGUGCACGCAGACACACACACACACACACACACACACACACACACACACAUUGUAAAAUUACCAAAAUCAAGCUUAAUAACAUGUCAAUUACUUCUCAUACAAGGGUAUUUUUGGUGUAUGGUGAGAACAUUUGAGAUCUACUUCAUUAAUAUAAUUUACUUAUACAAUACAUAUUAUUAAUAUAGCCUCUAUGCUGUAUACAUAUAUUUAUAUUAACUUCUCUUUUGUUAUUGUUGGAGACAGUUGUCUGUCUUUGUUCCCCAGGCUGGAGUGCAGUGGCAUUAUCAUAGCUCACUGAAACCUCAAACUCCUGGGUUCAAAUCAUUCUCCCACCUCAGCCUCAAAAGUAGCUAGAACUACAGGGGUGCACCACUAUGCCAAGCUAAUUUGUAGGAACAGAGUCUUGCUAUGUUACCCAGGCUGGUCUUGAACUCCUGGCCUCAAGCAAUCCUCCUGCCUUAGCCUCCCAAAAUACAGGGAUUAUAGGCAUGAGCCACAUGCCUAGCUUUAUAACAUUUUCUUUAUUCAUUUAUGUGUUGAUGGACAUUUACAUUGUUUUCAUAUCGUCUAUUGUGAAUAAUGCUUCAAGAAACAUAGGAGUGAAGAUAUCUCUUCAAUAUGUGAUUUUAUGUUCUUUGGAUAUUUAACCAUAGGUAGGAUUCCUGAAUCAUAUGAUAGUUUUAUUUUUAAUUUUUUGAUGAAUAAUCAUGCUGUUUUCCAUAAUGGCUUUACCAAUUUACGUUCCCAGUGACAGUGUACAAGGUUCCUUUUCUCUCCAUCAUUGAUAACAUUUGUUUUCUUUUGAAUUUUUAAUAAACAUUACCCUAACAUGUGCUUGAGGUGCUAUCUCAUUUUGGUUUUGAUUUGCAUUCUCCUGAUGAUUACUAAUGGCUUCUUUGAAAAAGGAUCUAUUUAGAUUAUUUGGCUACUUUUAAAAAGAAUGUGUUAUUUUUAUUGUUAUUUUUAUUCAGAGGGGGUUAUAUUUUAUGAAUUUCUUACAGAUUUUGAAUGCUAACCCUUUAUCUGAUAUUUGGUUUACAAGUAUUUUUCUUCGGUUCUGUGGAUUGCCUUUUAAAUUGAUUGACUGUCUUUUGCUAUGCAGUAGAAACUUUUUAGUUUGAUGUCGUUUCAUUUUUUUUCUCCCUGGGCUUUUAGUGUCAAAUACAAAAAAUAAUUAUUGCCGCAAACAAUGCCAAAGAAUUUUCCCCAAUGUUGUUUUCUAAAAGUUUUAUGGUUUCAGGUCCAGUAUUGAAGUCUUUAAUCUCUUAAGUUAAUUUUUGUGUAUUCUGUAAAAGAUGGGUUAAAUUUUUUUUGCAUGUGUAUAUCCAGUUUUCCCAUCACCAUUUAUUGAACAGUGUAUUCUUUCUUCACUGUAUAUUUAUAUAUCUUUGUUGAAAAUUAGUUGACUGUGUUCAGAUGGAUAUUUCUGAGCUCUCUAUUCAGUUUCAUUGGUCUAUGUGUCUGUGUUAAUGCCAGCAUCAUGCUGUUUUGAUGACUGUAGCUUUGUUAUAUCAUUUGAAAUUAAGAAGUUUGAUGCCUUCAGCUUUGUUCUUGCUCAAAAUUCUUUGGUUAUUUUGGGUCUUUUCUAAUUCCAUACAAACUUUAGAAAUUUUUUAUUUUUCUGGAAAAUGAUAUUUUAAUUUUGAUAGAGAUUGCUUUAAUUUUUUUUUUUUUUUUUUUUUGAGAUGGAGUCUCACUGCGUCACCCAGGGCCCAGGCUGGAGUGCAGUGAGGUGAUCUCAGCUCACUGCAACCUCCACCUUCCUGGUUCAAACAAUUCCCCUGACUCAGCCUCCUGAGUAGCUGGGAUUACAGGUGCACGCCACCAUGCCUGGCUAAUUUUUUUGUGUGUUUUUAGUAGAGAUGGGGUUUCACCAUGUUGGCCAGACUGGUCACGAACUCCUGACCUCAAGCAAUCCACCCGCCUCGGCCUCCCAAAGUGCUAGGAUUACAGGUGUGAGCCACUGCACCUGGUGAGAUUGCUUUAAAUCUUUAUAUCACUUUUAGUAGUAUGAAUGUUUUAAUAUUAAUUUAUCCAAUCCAUGAACACUAAGUUUUUUUUGUCUCUUCUAUAAUUGCCUUUGCCACUAUUUUAGAGUUUUUAUUGUACAAAUCUUUUACCGUCUUAGUUAUAAGUAUUAUUUUUGAUGUCAUGGCAAAUGGAAUUUUCUUAAUUUUUCCCAUAUAUUUUGUUGUAAGGUAUAGAAAUGCAAUUUAUUGUUUUGUACAUUGAUAUAGUAUCCUGCAACAUUGCUGAAUUAGUUUAUUAGUUUUAAAAGUUUUUUUCCUGUAAUGAUGAGCACACGGGGCUGUGUUUACACAUACAUUAAUAUUCUGUUAACAUAUCACAGUGCCUAAAAAUGUGCUCUGUUGUAUUUCUGCGGUGACAAAUUUAAUGGCAUCUUUUAGUCCUAAUUUUUUUUUCUUUUAAAAUACUUUUGUCUGGUAUUGUAUAAUGGUGUGUUACUUUUCAGUUGUGCUACACAUUUAUUUCCAGGCAGAGUUAGUCAAGCUUUCUAAUAAAGUUAUUUAAUACCUUUAUGUGUAUUUAGUUGUUGUAAGCCAAAACAGUAGAUUUUAAUGAUAGUUUUAAAGUUACCAAGUAAGAUUGAAAAUAUGUCAAUUCAUCACUGCUCAAGAAUCUCUGGAUUCCUCAUUUCAAACUCUUACGUAUGAUGUCUAUAUGUGUGUGUGUGUGUGUGUGUGUGUGUGUGUGUGUGUGUGUAAUGGCUUAGAAUCUUACCUAACAUAUUGUAUGCACUAACCAAGUACUAAAAGACAUGAUUCAUCAAAUUAUCAUCUUUAUACCAUUCUUCAAAUAGAAUAUUAUUUUCUGUUUGUUCUAAUUAAAAAUUAUGUUUCUGUCUUAUUUAAAUAUCAAUGAAAAUUAAAAGGUCUACUCAGUCUGCCGCCUUGAUAAAAGCCAAAGCUAAAUGGCAGUUUCACUAAUAUUUUAAAUUCAAUACCUUAUUUGCAUCACGAUAAAUAUAAACAGUAAGGAUAAAAUUAUAUUUUAAUUACCCAUCCUACAAUAAAGAGACUUUGAGUCAUUCAUUAAUAGGGCUGAAGCCUUGCUCUAUAUUUUUCUGAUUUUUCUAUAUUUCUGAUUUUUCUAUGUUAACAGCCUAGAAAAAUUUUUUACACAUAGAAUACUACAAAUUAGAAAUUAAUAUCUUGAAAUGUACAAAUUAUAAAAAAACUGAGUAAGUAGAAUAGAUGAAUAUAUGUUUAUAUAUUAUGAAUUGUUAUAUAACAAGCAAAAUUAUUAAUUAAAAAUAUUUUCACAAAGAAAAUUCCAGGGCAAAAUAACCUUUAUGGAAAACUGUCCCUAUAUUCAAUAAAUAAUUAAUACUAACUCUUCACCCAAAAAUAUUUUCAAAAAUUGAAAAAGAGGGAACAUUUUCCAAUUUAUUCUAGGAGGCCAGUAUUUCUGUGAUACUAAGGGCAGACCCAAAUAUAUGACAGAGAAGGACUAUGGACCAAUGUGGCAUAUUUAUGUAUAUACAUACAUCCCCAGAAAAUAUAGCAAACCAAAUCCAGUCACAUAAAAUAUGCAUAUACACGAAGACCAUAUGAUAUUGUUUUAUAAAUGCAAUUGUGACUUAAUAUCUAAAAUUUAAUCAAGAUGAUGCUCAAUACUAGUAAAGAACAAAAAGUGAUAAUUUAAAUAGGCACAGAGAAAAUUUCAAAAAUUGAAUAUCCAUCCCUGAGAAAACCCCUAGCAAACUACUAAUAGAAGGAAAUUUUGAGACCUACUAAAAUGCAUCUAUUUUUUAAAUCUGUAGCUAACAUCAUACUUAAUGGUGACAAACUAGUGUUUUUUUUUUACCUGAAAGUUUGGGGAGAAGACAAGAAUUUUCACUAUAAUAUUCCAGAUUGUAAAAUAUAAAAGUAGAACUGUAUUUAUUGUAAAUGAUACAAUUUUCUGUUAAAAAAUACAAAAAAAUUCUCUAAAAUACCACUAAGGCAGACAAAUCCAGUUUGUCAGUAGAGGGUGAUUUAUUGGGGGAACACAGAGAAUGAAGCAUGAUCUUUGGCAGGUGCAAUACAGGUAGAUCUCUGCACCGUAACCCUCCAGACCCAGGACUUAUACCCUAUAGAAAAGGGCAUAUGACCAAUGUGCCAGACAAUUAAAGUGGACCUUCCAGGAAAUGAUGACAUUGCUAUCUAUGUGUGUCAUAUCCUGUAAUUUGUGCUGUAACAUCAAGGUUUCUGUUGACCUAGGGGCAGGAUGUGGUCUUAUAUAAAGAGCAGUAGAUAAAGUGGAUAUCCUAAAGGCAUUCCUGGAACUGGGGGGUAAUCAAAGUUAAAUGGCAAAUUAUAAUUCAGGAUGGAGUUACUUUAGUCUUUACACUCCACCCAUCUUAUCCACCUGUUACUAUCUCAGCAUUCUGCUCUUCUGUGAUGGUCCGUUAGUUUUUGUGGAGAGACUGUAGGUGACAUGUUUUAUCACUGUGUUUUUUGCUUAUAAGCAGAUACAGCAGUAACAAUACAGACAACAACAGGCAAUGACACCUAUGACAUGUAUCAGACACAGAAUUAAUAACACUUUCUGCCACCAUGUUCCUCAGGAUCCAAACCAGGAGGAGAGCCAUUGGGAGAAAGGUUAGAGUCAGACAUUGUGGUUAUUUGUUUAUGCAUGUCUUGUAGGGCUAGAGUUAUACUGCUAGAAUGAUCAGGAAUAAAUACACAACAUUCUGUCUUAAUCAUGGCAAAAGCUUUUCCUUGUGCAGCAGUUAAUACAUCGAAUACCAUGUAAUUUUGUAGAAUAGCCUUCAGUAUGGGGGUCAUCUCAGAGUUCAUUAAAAAAUACCUUGGAGGCUGUCAUUGAGAAAAAGCUGAGUAUAGUUAAUGUGUUUUCAAUGCCUACAAAUGGCACAGAGAUUGAAGCUAAAUAAUCAUACCAAUAAAAGAAAGCCCUUAUCCACCUACUAGUCACAUAUGGGAAAUUAACAGGUUUAUCAGUUGGCUUUUCCCAUCAUCCUUGGACCAAUAGAAAACCUAACAUGUAGUGUCCUAGCCAUCCCAGUGGUGACCAAGGCCAGAGAUUAAAUCCAUACAACCAUUCAGUACCAUUUGGAGCUGCCAAUUUAUUCCAGUUUGUUGAGAUGAGUCUGUAGUAACCCAGUCCAUGGCUUGCAGUAUUACAAUGUGUUGGCAUUGUUCCUGGGACAUCCAGCCCUUACUAUGGGUAUAAUUGAGCCAUGAGGUGUGGUUUCAUUGCUCACAUCAUAGGGGCACUAACUGACUUAAAUGCCCUAUAGCUGGUGUCAGCCAAAUGAAACCAUCUCAAAUUUUAAAAAGACCUUCUUUACAGUGAGAAUGUCAAGGUCUUAUAAUAAGACUCAUUCCUUAGAAUCCUUUGGUUGUGGCGUAGCUCUAGUUACUACAUGUUUUUGUGUGGCAUUUAUUGAAAAGGGCUUUCCAUGUCCAUAACUGUUAAGUGUCUUGUUAAUAGGCUAAUUACAUCACUUCUUGUCACAUCUUCUAAAGGUGUAUUCCACUGUUGAAGAGACUUGAUGAAUAUCUGUACAUUCUGCAAGUCAUUUUUCUGCAUAGGUGAUACAUACCAAGGCAUACCAGAGGUGCUGGAAUAAAAUAACCACAAUGCCAGUAGGCAUCCUUUUAUGAACUGUCAGCAUAAUGUUGAGCCCAUUGUAGAGAAAAUACAGCAGAGCAGCAACAGGAACAGAAGACUAUGGGUGUAAAUACAAGUGUUUAGCAGUAGUUGAAAGGGCAGUUCUUUCCCAUCAAGCAGAAUGAUUGUAGUGACUUUGUCCCUGUUAGUUAGGACAUAGGCACCCAAAGGAUUAUGGGCUGGGAGUGCACACCAAACAUGGGGCCUAAGGGGUAAAUGUGCCAGUAUUAUCUGUAAAGUUACAGGGACAGCAAAAGACCAUGUUAAACCACUGAUCAAAGUGUUCUUUAAAAGAAGUUGUGUUCCAGUGUAUUGGUAUUUGGCACAUUUUUGCCCAGACUCCAACAGGAUCAACAGAGACCACUUUAGCUGGCUGGGGAAGUUCUCACUCUCUGGAAAGAAAUAGCCUAUCCAACCAGGGGAAAUUUGCCAGUCCAACAGUAUUCAAGGGCUCCCUUUCUUGGCUGGAGGUCUUGGGGAGUCCUAAAUAAUACGUGCCAUUGGCCUUUUAUCAGCUACAGUAGAAAUGGAUCUGGUUGGAUUUUCUUUACAAUGAUGGUUAAUAGACCCUCCUUUAUGGGGAUCCUGAAUCAUUGGUAUAGUUCCAACCCUAUAUUUGUUUCAACUGAAUUAAGGUGUCUAAUGGUUGGAGUCAAAACCUUCACCCAGCCAUGCAAAAUAUUAGAUUUUAAGAGUGCUCACAGUUGAGUCUAGUGCUAUUUUUCCUUUCAAUCAAACCUGCCACUUGAGGAUUACAUAAUAAAUAGAAUUCCCAGUCUAUAUCCUUUUCAUGUGCCCAACCUUGUACAUCAUGUUCAAUGAAAUGUGUGCCUCAGUCACUAUCAGUGUGUUGAGGAUAUCCAUAUAUGACACCGAGUUGCUUCAAGCCCUUGAUGGUGGCUGUCUGGUUUGCCCUUUUGCAAGUGAAGGCCUGAAAUAAUACUAUAAGAGUAUCCACAUAUUUUAGUGCAUACUUUUGUCUCAAGUUUACUGGCAGGGAUUCGAUGUAGUCUCUUUACCAGCUUAUCAGAGGGGUAGCUGUCUUAUGAAUGAGUUCCUAUGUAUGUGGUGUGUGGUGAGGGCUCAGGUGAGAGCAAACUAAGCAGACUGUUAUUGCCACCACUAAAUCUGCAUAGUGGAGGGCAAUCAUCCUACCUUCGCUAUUUGCCAGCCCACUCGUGCACUGUGAUGCUCACUAUGUUCAUGUACCCAAUCAACUAGCUCAGAUGACUGUGAGGAAGCCAAUGUUCUAAUUUUUGCUAGGGUAUCUGCAUCCAUGUUACCAGAAAGGAAAUCUGACCAGUGUGCUGAAACACAGUACAUGAUUAAGCUCACAGUGUGUUCUUGUAGCCUCUCCCAAAUGUCGUUUCACAUGGCAGCUAGCCAUAAGGGUUUUUAAAGCACAUAGCAACCAUUUCAGGACCAUUGGGAAGCCAAGUUGUAAGACCCUUAAGACCCUAUAGUUCUCUGUACAGACAGGCCCACCUGGAUAGGCCAUAACUCAUGGAUACCAACCAAUUAUGCAGCUUGAAGCUCUGCCCAUUGAUGGCUUUGUUGCAUUCCCUCCUCAAUCCAGAUAGCAUCUGUCUAGUUGUACAGCUAGAGCCAUCCACAUGCAUGUUACUAUGUGUGGCUUGAUCUGAAUACCAAUCAUUUUCAAAAAUGAGGCCGUGCCUUCAUGUACAUUGGAAGCAUCUCUUGUGGGGGAUCCGCAUUGGGGGCAGCCCUUGUCUCAUAGUGCACUGGCCCUAACAUAGCAGGCAGUUCAUUCCCCAAGGGACUCUUGGAGAAGAUACUAUGUUGUUGCAGAUCUGCAUGCCAUUUUUGUACAGUGGAGGCUUGAGCAAUGGCUAAUUCAGGCCUGGCAGACAAGCCUUUCAUCCAGCAAAUGGGUUCCGUUUGCUGCAAGCCUUGUAUACCUGUUCAGUCAAAACAGUGGAUUUCACCACUCCUCCACAAACAUCCUAGGGGAACUGUUUUUUUAUUCUGGACUUGCCCGAGAGCCCAAGUGUUCCCAUCAGGACUUAUGGUCACAUCCAAAGACACUGCUACUGUUGAAGGGACUCUGGGCUGGCCAAAUAAUAUAGCACACCGUGGGGAAGAAAGGUGUACAGAUUUUCUUUUACUUUCCCUCUUAACAUAGCUUUUACUACCCAAAUCCAUAGGCAUAAUUCUCCAACAGAUGUUCGUAAAGUGUGCCUUAAGAGGACAUUUAUACCCAAGAUGUUUUGUGGACUAGAUGAGAUACAGUAAAGCAAGCAGGAGGUUCUAACCAGAACCAAGGGGGAAAGAAGUUUGUUUAACUCAGGUUGUUCAUCUCCCAUAGCCAUCUAUAGCUCCCCACUUAUCAGGAUGUCUUUCUGCAUUUCCAUGAAUUAAGGUGCAUUUGACACCUGUGCCUACCACUGCUAAGGUCCUCUGCUUGUUUUCUGGACUUAAAUGAAUUGUGAACUCCACAUGGACCUCUGGUCACCUCAAUUGCUCAUACAUGAAGGCAGCCUCAGCCUUAACCCUAUUCUCUAGGCUGGGAAGGACGCCACUCAUUGAACACAGAUUGGAGUUCUUUUCUGCAAAGUUUUUUCUUCUUUCUACUCUUCUGCUGGGGCAAUAGGCAGGGCACUAGGCAGGGCAUUAGCAGAAGUCAACUCCUUCCAAAUGCCCACAAAUAUGGCCUUUUCUUUGUCCACCCCAGCUGAGAUUAGAUUAUACAUUAGUUUUUCUAGUAACCCUAACUGAGUUACUGAAAGACUUGGCAUGUCCUUCUUUUCCUUUUCCUUUGGUAAGCAGUCAGACCUUAUUUCUUCCCUCUUUCUCCAAGAUUAGCUACAGUUCUCCCACAUCACACACAUCUUUUCCCAUGAGGGAACUCAAGAUGUAUAUGAGGGCACCAUGCCAAUUCCAAGGGACAUUUUGUUAACUACUGAUUUUUCAUGACCAUGGUAAACACAGCCUUAUCUGAUCCUUCAAAUUAUUGGAUAUAUAUGUCCUGCCACAUACCCAACUUGCUUAAAUUGAUGUGUUUCCUCCAGCGAUGGCCAUGCCAGGGUCUGACCUGAGAAGUCUCCUUCAUUUGGCCCGGCCUCGCUCAUGGCCAUGAUAAUCCAGUCCAUAACACUAUGAUUGCCCUGAACAGUUGUAGCUUUGUGCAAACACUGUCUCAAAGCAGGAUGGGUGGUUAUUUGUUCAUUGUUUUAGCUUCACUGUCAGCUAGGGAGAUGCCCUUUCUAUCAGAGUCCUAGUCACAUAAACCAUGUGGCUAACCUUUCUCUCAGCAACUAUUUAAGUAUUUUUGCUAUGUCUAAUAGUUCUAGUAAGGUGUACUCUCAGACAGUUCAGGUUUAUUGCAAAGACUGUCCAUUAUUGCCCAGCUCCAUGUGUUGGGCUUUUGCUUUCUGCUGCAUGAGUGGAUUGCUCUAAAAUGGGGACGGUAAUCCUACACCUCUUCUGUGAUAAACUCUGUCUUCAUCUGGCUCACUAGUUGCUUUCUGAUGAUUCCAGACCUUAGCGUCCCAGUCAGGUUUAGCAAGGCAGUCCUCCACUUUCAGCUGGUGCAACUUCCACCCUCCCAGCUGCACAAAUGGCAGCUAGAGCUUCCAGCUGUGCCUCCUGUGUUUUGAACUCAUCCCCCAAGGUAGUCACUAACACAGACAUGGAUGUCCUCAUACUCAUGCUUAACAGUAAUUUUUCUUGUAGCCAGAUGACCCUGGUAAUGGAAUGUGGUGAUGGCAGCUGGGCUGUUGAGCAGGAUGAUGAGCGGCAGAAUUAGCAGGGCUCUGGCUCCCAUGUUGGUCCAUCCUGCUGGCAUGGAGCUUUUUCCAGGCUGUGGGCUGGAUGUGGUAGGUGGGGCUUCCUUUCUUCCCCAGACUAGCCCAGCAAUUCUCCAGGAAGCCAGGCCUCUGCGGCUAAUUCUGUCUUGCACCUCAACACGGCAGGAAACAGACCCAAAGCAGGCAGUAACUUGCCUAGAUCCCCAGAGGAGAGACGAACUCCUCCUCCCACCUGGAGGCCCUGUCCCAGCUACCUUCACCCCAUACCCCAGCACCACUACUGACCAGGGUUCCAUCUUCUGGACUCUAUGGGCAUCUCCAUUCCGGGCUCAGCCAUGGUGGAAGUAAGAUGUGGUGUCUUGGGAGACCUGGUUGAGCAGGUCUCUGUUUCCUCAUCUGAAAAAUGUACAAAUAGUGAACCUGUUGUGCAGGCCUUACAGAGUCCUGAUGAGGUUCAAGGGAGAAAGGGAAUUUGAGGGUCCUUGCAUCUGGCUCUUCUUGAUAAAUAUAAUGGUGAGAACAAUGGUGAUAGUCACAUUCAACUGAGUCCUCAGGAGGCCCUGAGGUAGGCGUGGUUUCCACUGCCCUUUCCUGAUGAGAAAGCAGCCUCUGGGAGGCCCGGCUUCAUGCCCAGAUGGCAAAGCCGUGAGUGCUGGAGCUGGGAGUGAGUCUAGAAUCAGGACUCACUGGAGGUAGUGGGGGUAUUGCAUCAGCUGACCAAGGCCAGUUAACCAGGGUUUGAGGUUAGUGUGGCUGGGGUGAAAAAUGGUUGAUGGAGGAUAAUCUCACUGACCUUACCCCUGACCCUCACAGUAGGGGACCUCCAAGUUGGUCACCCUGGAGAGGAACCCAGCAAAUCUGGGGCAGCAGCAGGUGAGUGUGCCUGUGGUGGGGAGGGGCUGCAGGGAGUCAGAGGACAGGGACCGUCCCUCCCAGCUGGAGGCCUCUACAUCAAGCAAGCAGGGGACCUUUCUCCCCCAGCUCUUCCCUCCUGUGACCACAGUGCCUGAAAUGCCUCCAUUAGAGAGACCAGAAAAAGGGCCUGGGAGACCUUGGCUCACUGUGGAUUUUGGGAAGGGUGGAGCAGGGGACCCCAUGAUCUUAUUACUUGCUAAUAUCCCACCAGAAAAGAAAAAAAAAACAACAAACUGGGGAUGCCCGCUGGCUUUGGACACCAGCUAGGGGAAAAAGGUGAGAAUUGGGGGAAGACAGCUGGGGGUCCUUAGUUACUCCAAGUGAAAGACCUGGGUAAGGGGAUACAGAAGACAGGAAUGGUGAGAUUUCACAGGACAGACCUUGGACAGGCACCUAAAAGCGGGUGCUCAUCAUCUCUAGCACUCUGAUGGCCCAGGCUGUGUGCUGUCUCUGGGCAUGUUCCUCAGUGAUGCUGGACACUGCCAUGAAGGACUGUGUGGAUGGGAGUGAGCCUAGGGCAGGCAGGUCAGGGACCGGGAUCGUGAGGCCUGGGAGGAGAGAGCUGAGGAUUGAGCCCUUGGAUCUCAGCACUCAGCAGACCUCCUCUCAUGAGAGCCUCACAGCUGCCCCUGUGAGCUGGGGUGUCAGGCCCAUGUCAUCUAUGAGUGGUGGAGGUUCCAUAGCAGCUGCCAGCCUCUGCUUCCUGAGUAGUGAUGCGUCAGGGCUGUCUGACUGCAAAGUUGUGUGAGGUUUGGGCUGAGCUGAACUUAGCCUGUCCCUCAGGUGGUGCCCAUGAGAGGAGAGGGAAAUUGCACCCAUGAAAGAUCAGACAGGUCCUAAAUGGCUGAGCGCUUUCUCUUUAUGCAAGGCCUCAAUUUCCCUGUCUGUCAUGAGAGAGGGUUGAGGCAGAAGGUUCCCAAGCCUCAGUGCCCAUGCUGUCUCCUCUGGAGCCCAGAGGCUAACACAGGUCUCAGUUCUGCUUGGUGCACAACCCCUGACCCUCAUAGCCUUGGCGGUAGCACAGCAUGAGGGCAGGUGAGGAGUGGGGCUAGCCCUGGGCCGGAGUGCCUUUCUGAUGAACCUUGGCUGUCUGCCUUCCAGGGAUAUUAGGUCAGCACUCAAAAGAGGAAGAUGAGCAAUUGGGGCCCUGACUUUGGGGGACAUUGGGAAUGUGGAAGUCAGAGACCCUCCUGGGCAGGACGCCCCCUGGCUCCACCCUCUGCCUCUUAGAUUUAUUGGGAGGGUUGGAUGCACAGAGAAGGAAGAAACCCAUCCCAGUGGAGGGUGUGGGUAGGGGACUGCAAUCAAUGACAAAUUCCUAGAGGAGGGGCUGUUUAUAUCCAACUCUGAAAACAGGUUGAAGCUGAAUGGCAUUGAAGAAGAGGGGGCCCUUUAAGAGAAAAGCCCUAGAGACCAGCCCCUGCUCCUCCCACCCCAACAAGUCCCCUUCAGCAUCUUCUAUCCAGGCCCUGUCAGCAUCCUGUCCUUCCCUCUGGGUCCAGGAAAUCAAAGUCCUCCAAGAAAUGCAGCCACUUCUGUAACAAGAGAGAACGGUCAUCUUCAGACUCAGGAGGAAUUUGGGGUUUGGUUCAGGUCCAUUGAAAAGCACAGUUGGAAUAAAACUUGGGGGUAGCAGAUAUUCAGAGGGUAGGAGGAGACUCUCUUACGGCCAGCUUCAGACAGCCUGUGGCCAUGGCUCCCUGGUCAGCAGGAGAGCAUGUUGCAUGGGGAUCCCUGGGCAGGCACUGGGAGGGAGGCCUGAGGUGUGGCUCCUGCAGCGUCAUAGCUACUGCUCUUUCCUGCAGUGACAACCUGUCCGGCCCACUGAGCCUCCAUCCCAGUAGGCCAGCAACACCCUCAAGGCUAAGAAGAUCAGGCCAUGAAGAAUCUCAGGGCCAAUGAGUGCCCAGGUGGUAGGUGCAGAGUGCCUCAGGGCUCAGUGAAGUUUGGGCUGAGCACGGGCUCUGGACUUCCAACUAACUCCACUGUGACUAGCACUGUGAUUGGGGCAGCCUCACUGCUCUGGAACUUGAGGUACCAUUGUCACAGAUAUAAAACACCCUUCCAAUCUUUUUCUUUUUUAUCUUCCUCUGUAAUCACCAUGUACUACUGCUCUGUUAGUGUUUUUAUUCAAAUUAAUAAACAUAUGUUAUACAGUGUAUAUCAUUGUUCCUCAUGAUUUCUACACCAUACUGUAUGAUUCCAGUCACAUGAGGUACUUAUGGUCGUUCCAUUCAUAGAAACACAAGGUAGAAGAGUGGUUCCCAGGGGCUGUAGGGAGGGUAAAAGGGAGGUAUUGUUUAAUGGGCACAGUUUUGGUUUUGCAGAAUGAAAAAUAUAACAUUUCCUAUGAAUGUGGAUGAUGGUUGCAAAACAAUGUAAAUGUACUUAAUUCUUUUGAACUGCACACUUAAAAAUUGUUAAAAUGGUUAAUUUUGUAUAUAUUUUACCACAAUAUAAAAAUACUUAAAAAAUAGACUAUAGCUAUAUGCAACAGCAUGAAUGAAUAUCACAAAUAUAAUGUCUCAUAAAGGAAAGUUGAUGUAAAAUAUACAUACUAUAUAAUUUCAUUCAUAUUAAAUCCAAAAAUCAAACAAAACUGAGGUUCUGGCUUCUACUCAUUGUGGAGUAGCUUGGUGAAUUAACACUCUUAAAAAUAACAAACAUGAAACCAGGAUAAAAAUACUAUAUAUUAUUAUAGAAAUCCAUCUACAUAUAAUAUAAACACGACAUAUGUGUGAAUAAGAAAUAAUGAGGAUUUCACCUGUGCCCAGUGUACGGGAGAUAGGUAAUAAAGUUUCAAUUCAGCCCAGUAACACCUUAAAAAAAAAAAACACUCUUCAAAUAAACACAACCAAAUCCAGAGUCUCUAUAAAUAUCCUUUUUAGUUUGUAGUACACAAUUUUGCAAUUAAUGAGACCUGUGAAGAAACAUGAAAAUGCAAUCCAUACAGAAGAUAAAAUGCUGGCAGUAGAAGCUACCCCAAUAUAUCCAAGAUAUUGUAAUCAGAAGACAGGGAUUUAAAGGCAGCUAUUAUAUAUGCAUUCAUGGGGAUAAAGGAAAAUAGUCCCAUUACAAAUGAACAGAUGUGAAACUUCAGCAGAGAAAUGGAAAUUAUGUGUAUAAAAAGGAACCACAUAGAAAGAUAAAGAGAUGAAAAAAUAUUUUGAGCUUAUCCACAGAUUAGAAACAGAAGACACAGCAAUAGAAAUGAUUCAAUCUGAAGAAAAGAAUUUAAAGAAAAUAGACAGAGCCUUAGAGACCUGUGGGAUAAUUGAGUCUGAGAAAGAGGAGAGAGACAGACAAAUCAAAUGAGGUUCAAAAUAAAUUACCAACUGGUAAAUGAAUACUUUCAAAAAAAUUUCCAAGACCUUAAUUUUUAUAUACAAAAGGUCAACAACCCCCCCAAAAUAAAUACAAAUAAAUACAAAUAAAAUCAUACCAAGGCCACAUUGUGACUGUGGAAACUGGCAAGGCAGGGCUUUCAACUGACUUGUUAUUAAUGCUCCAGAAAGAUGUCCCAGGGAGAGUCUGCUCUGGUGCAUCCACCCUGCACGGAGCUGAGGCUGCGCCUACACUAGUUUCAGAAGUGUGUAGUUGCGGAGUACUUAGAGUUAAUCUGAGAAAGUAAAUGGAAAAAUGGAUUCAGAUAAUUAUCACUGUUAAGUUCCACCAGCAAAGUAUUGAAAGUGGUUAUAAAGGGAUAUUUAAAAAGCAAAAUUAAAAGAUUUUGUAAGGGAGCCCUAUUCACAGCAGAAAUGCAGACACUGAACAUGACCUCACCAAACAAACUUCCCUUAUGUGUUGGGAGGGACCAAGGGGCCUUCUGGUCUUGCUGCUCUGUGUUAAUUAUGGCAGAGAAGUCCAUACUAGUGAAACGGGAAAAGUUCACUUGUCCCUUUUGCAGGGCGUGCGAUGGGGGUGUAACUUGCUUCUUCAGUGCCCUGCUGCUCAGACCUCUAGGGGAGCAUACAGAGGGGCAGGCUAUGGGGCUCUGACCCCAUGGCAGUGAUCUAGGGGUGAAUGUUUACAGCUGAAGCCCCAGUGGACGUGUGUUACAGCUCUUAGUUUAGCUGUCCGUAGGCGACUUGUGUUAGUCAUCUCAAUUAGACCCCUGCUUUAUUGGAAGGACAGAGGGCUUUAUGUAUCCUGGGGUUCUUGCCUUGGUGUACUGCAAGAAUUGGAUCACAUGUGGGCUUGGAGAAUAAGCGCGAGGUUUUAUUGAGUGGAAGUAGCUCUGAACAGAUGGGGGAGGCAGAAGGGAGAUGGUUUUCCCCUGGAAUUGGGCGCCCAGGGGGCCUGGCUCUCUGGCCAAACUUCACCUCCUUCUGCCGGUGGAUAGCCUGCUGGCCUGCUGGAGUCUAUCCUGUGCUCUUCCACAGAGUACUCCCCUCUAUGCCCAGAGGACGUCCAGAGGACCUGUGUGUCUGCCUGUUAGGGCCUCAGGGUUUUUAUAGGCAUAAGAUGGGGGCGUGGCAGGCCACGGUGGUCUUGGGAAAUGCAACAUUUGGGCAAGAAAACAAAAAUGCCUGUCCUCACCUAGGUCCGUGGGGGUGGAGCCCUAGCCAGGGACCAUGCCUUCCUCUAACCCAUACUUCCCCUCCCCCUUCCGUAUCAUUUAAAGGGACCACGCUCUUCCCUUCCAGCAGUUCCCUUCCUUAUCACUAGGACCCCAAGACCUGGGAACCAGCCUGGGUGGGGGUCAGUGGUGGAUGUGGCCCCAAAAGCAGCUUAGGGGGUCCCUUCCUUGUGGCUGCUUCUUGACUGGAUGGAGCAGUGUUCAGGCCUUUCCCCUGUGACGUUUUCUCCUAAUAACGUCACAGGCCUUUCUCAUGUGACUUUAUUACAGCGGCUGGGGCGUCCCUGUGAGAGGCCUGACCCAGGUGUGGGGGGCGCAGCCAGAACGGGGUGCUCCUGGGGUGCAGAGGAUUCGUGGCAGCACGGAGAGUCCGAGGGAAAGGUGACUUUGGAAAGGCAAGUGCCAGGUUACUAGGACCGUGUAUAUUCACUUCUGGCAGUGAAAUGACGGUUUCAGACACUAUGAGGGAGCUUCCCGAGUAGGAUACAAAGAAAGCCUGCAGCUGCCAGGUCCACGGGCUGAUAGCCCCACCUCUACGGAGGAGGCUACGCGGCGCAUGCUCGAAGGGCGUGACAAGGGGCGGGGCGAGAAGGAAGGGGCGGGGCUGAGGGGAGUGGUGGGGCAGAAGAAAGGGGCCGUGUACGCCCACAUACUGGAGGAUCAACAUUAUCAUGGCAACCCUGAGGAGGCUGUGAGAGUCUGUGGGGUCCUUGCCGGCCUGCAGAAAAUCAAGCUUUGAGCGGGAAGCUUCGAGGAGACACAGUGUCACAAUUACAAGGAUCCAGCAUUUGGAGGCAAACAUGAAGCUCCAUCCUCUCCAAUUCCGGGGCAAACGUGUGGAGAUGAUCAAAAUGCUUCACCUUCAAAACUUUCAAAGGAAGAGUUAAUACAGAGUAUGGAUCGUGUAGAUCGAGAAAUUGCAAAAGUAGAACAGCAGAUCCUUAAACUGAAAAAGAAACAAGUAAAAGUCUUUGCCUAAUAUA